GGCGGGUUGGCGUAAUGGUAACGCGCUAGUUUCCGGUGAUGACAGGAUUUGUCACGUGACCAUGCGCUAGAGAUUCUGGGUUCGAGUCCCAGGCCUGUCG